UACGUAGGAUGCGAGCGUUGUUCGGAUUUAUUGGGCGUAAAGCGUGCGUAGGCGGUUACAAAAGUCUGGUGUUAAAGCUAGGGGCUCAACCCCUGUGAUGCACUGGAAACUAUGUGACUUGAGUGCGGUAGGGGAAGGUGGAAUUCCGAGUGUAGCGGUGAAAUGCGUAGAUAUUCGGAAGAACACCGGUGGCGAAGGCGACCUUCUGGGCCGCAACUGACGCUGAGGCACGAAAGCGUGGGUAGCAAACAGG
rnacentral:rRNA from 1 species